rnacentral:rRNA from 1 species
GAUGAACGCUGGCGGCGUGCCUAAUACAUGCAAGUCGAGCGAAUGGAUUAAGAGCUUGCUCUUAUGAAGUUAGCGGCGGACGGGUGAGUAACACGUGGGUAACCUGCCCAUAAGACUGGGAUAACUCCGGGAAACCGGGGCUAAUACCGGAUAACAUUUUGAACCGCAUGGUUCGAAAUUGAAAGGCGGCUUCGGCUGUCACUUAUGGAUGGACCCGCGUCGCAUUAGCUAGUUGGGGAGGUAACGGCUCACCAAGGCAACGAUGCGUAGCCGACCUGGGAGGGUGAUCGGCCACACUGGGACGGAGACACGGGCCAGACUCCUACGGGGGGCAGCAGUAGGGAAUCUUCCGCAAUGGACGAAAGUCUGACGGAGCAACGGCGCGUGAGUGAUGAAGGCUUUCGGGUCGUAAAACUCUGUUGUUAGGGAAGAACAAGUGCUAGUUGAAUAAGCUGGCACCUUGACGGUACCUAACCAGAAAGCCACGGCUAACUACGUGCCAGCCGCCGCAGUAA